GUGCUCGCUUCCAUUUGGUGGCAGCACAUAUACUAAAAUUGGAAUGAUACAGAGAAGAUUAGCAUGGUCCCUGUGCAAAGGAUGACACACAGAUUCAUGAAGUGUUCCAUAUUUUU
ensembl:snRNA U6 U6 spliceosomal RNA